CGAGAGCCCCGAGCAUUAUCCGGAAUCAUUGGGCGUAAAGGGUGCGUAGAUGGUGUUAUUAGUCUUUUGUUAAAACCUCGGGCUUAACCUGAGAUCAGCAGAAGAAACGGUAAUACUAGAGAGUGUGAGAGGUGUACGGAACUCAUGGUGUAGGGGUGAAAUCCGUUGAUAUCAUGGGGAACACCAAAAGCGAAGGCAGUACACUGGCACACAUCUGACGUUCAAGCACGAAAGCGUGGGUAGCGAAUGGGAUUAGAUACCCCAGUAGUCCACGCCCUAAACGAUGUUCAUUAGUCUUUCGGAGUAUCGACCCUCUGAGAGGCGUAGCUAACGCGUUAAAUGAACCGCCUGGGAAGUACGGCCGCAAGGCUA
rnacentral:rRNA from 1 species